ACGGGAGGCAGCAGUGGGGAAUAUUGGACAAUGGGCGAAAGCCUGAUCCAGCCAUGCCGCGUGUGUGAAGAAGGUCUUCGGAUUGUAAAGCACUUUAAGUUGGGAGGAAGGGCAGUAAAUUAAUACUUUGCUGUUUUGACGUUACCGACAGAAUAAGCACCGGCUAACUCUGUGCCAGCAGCCGCGGUAAUACAGAGGGUGCAAGCGUUAAUCGGAAUUACUGGGCGUAAAGCGCGCGUAGGUGGUUCGUUAAGUUGGAUGUGAAAUCCCCGGGCUCAACCUGGGAACUGCAUCCAAAACUGGCGAGCUAGAGUAUGGUAGAGGGUGGUGGAAUUUCCUGUGUAGCGGUGAAAUGCGUAGAUAUAGGAAGGAACACCAGUGGCGAAGGCGACCACCUGGACUGAUACUGACACUGAGGUGCGAAAGCGUGGGGAGCAAACAGGAUUAGAUACCC
rnacentral:rRNA from 1 species